GGGCCUAUCGUCUAAUGGUAGGAUACGAGUCUUUAUUGCGACGAGGUUCGCGUUUUCCUAAUUCUCGUGAAGGUGGUUCGAUUCCACCAUGGCCCG
rnacentral:tRNA from 1 species